AUAUGCCCCCGUAGCGGCGAGUGAGCGGCAGAGCUCAGAUUUGAAAUCGUGUUUCGGCACGAGUUGUAGAGUGUAGGCGGGAGUCUCUGUGGAGCGCGGUGUCCAAGUCCCUUGGAACAGGGUGCCUGAGAGGGUGAGAGCCCCGUAGGGUGCUGCGCGAAGCUUUUGAGGCCCUGCUGACGAGUCGAGUUGUUUGGGAAUGCAGCUCCAAGCGGGUGGUAAAUUCCAUCUAAGGCUAAAUAUUGGCGAGAGACCGAUAGCGAACAAGUACUGUGAAGGAAAGAUGAAAAGCACUUUGAAAAGAGAGUGAAACAGCACGUGAAAUUGUUG
rnacentral:rRNA from 1 species